GCCAGACUCCUACGGGAGGCAGCAGUGAGGGAUAUUGCACAAUGGGGGGAACCCUGAUGCAGCGACGCCGCGUGGGUGAAGGAGCGUUUCGGCGCGUAAAGCCCUAUCGGCAGGGAAGAAGGAGGACGGUACCUGACUAAGAAGCCCCGGCUAACUACGUGCCAGCAGCCGCGGUAAUACGUAGGGGGCAAGCGUUAUCCGGAUUUACUGGGUGUAAAGGGGGCGCAGACGGCAGCGCAAGCCAGGAGUGAAAGCCCGGGGCCCAACCCCGGGACUGCUCUUGGAACUGCGCGGCUGGAGUGCAGGAGGGGCAGGCGGAAUUCCUGGUGUAGCGGUGAAAUGCGUAGAUAUCAGGAGGAACACCGGUGGCGAAGGCGGCCUGCUGGACUGCGACUGACGUUGAGGCCCGAAAGCGUGGGGAGCAAACAGGAUUAGAUACCCCAGUAAUA
rnacentral:rRNA from 1 species